UCAGUGAUCGAGGGCCUCGAUGUGACGUCACGAAGAACUGUGCUCAGUUACACCUCCUGCUUUCCUACCCGCUUGGUGAGCAGGCGGAGUGGAACCCUCGCAGGAUGCCCAGCAAGCUGAGCGGAGAGGAUGAGGCGCGGUCUGCAGUCAAACGGCCUGGGAGAUGGCUUCGCCGGUUCGGGCCUUCGGCAGCGGGAAGAGCGCCUAUGUGGAGCCGCCCGGGUUUGGGCCCUGGGGGAAUUAAAUCCUGGACCCCACGCAAGUCCGGAGGAGACUGAAGGCCCUGCCUCUGGAGGGCACGAUGAGAAUUCUCGAGAAGCUGGACGAAGGCGUGAGUAGUAGGAACGUGGGGCGCCUUUUUGGUAUCGAUGAGUGAACAGUACUCGUGAUGGAGAAGGAGAGGGCCAUUUGGGCCGGCCUGGAAAGUGUUUUGCCUGUCUGCUCCAAGAUUCCCGUGAGGUAGACUCCAAGAAGAUGGAGACCUCGUUAACCUGUUGAGUGAAGGGGCAGAGUGUGGAAGGCGGCCUCGGACUGCAAAGGCCGUCUGCACCCAGGCUGGACGCAUCUGUGUGGCAUGUGGUGGUCAGGGCAGUUCAGACACGUUUCCUGCCAGCAAGGAAUGGUCUGAGAAGUUUAAAAAUAAGUACCGUCUGCGAAAUGCAAAGUCGAUGGGGAAGGAAGAACCAUUAAAUGCUGAGUUGGCACCCAAGUAUUCCAAGCGAUUGGAGAGACCGAUCAGAGAUAAAAGCUAUGUGCCUCAACAGGUCCUGAGCCUAGUUUGGAAAUGCAUGCCUUCCCAUACUUUUAAGGAAAUAGAUAAUAAUCUGAAAGCUUAGAGGAAACAAGGACAGGAUUUCCUUCAUUAUUUGUGUCAGUGUCUCAGGUGACAAAAUGAUGAACCUAUUACUGCUUUACAAAGACCCUAAUCCCACUUUUCUUUUGGAAAAAAGAUUUUUUACAGUGCCUUAUGUUUUUGUGUCUUGGUUUUUAUAAUUAGAUUACCCAUGAAAACUAAGAUCCUGGCAGCUUCUUUUCUGGUGUACCCCAUGCUCAGGACCCUUAGCCUACAGCUUCACUCAGCCAUCACCGGCAGCUAUAUCUCUGGCACUCACUCCAUCGUCUUUGUCAACUGUCCCAAUGAGCAAAUUGCCAGAGACAUUGCCAGGACCAUACUGGCUAAGAAAUUGGCUGCCUCCGUGAACAUCUUGCCCAAGACAUCAUCACUGUUCUUUUGGAAGGGAGAAAUAGAAGAAGCCACUGAGAUCUUGUUGUUAAUAAAGACAAAGACUUCCAAGGUCCUCAAGCUGUCCAGCUUUAUCAGGUUGGUGCAUCCUUUUGAAAUCCCAGAGGUCUUCAGUCUUCCCAUGGACCAAGGAGAUGUGCACUAUUUAAAGUGGCUUGAGGAGGGCAUGGAGGAGGACUGAGUAGGGGAAGCUUCUUGUGCACGAUGCUGGCUGCCUCUAGCCCUCAGCAGCUGAACUCUGGGCCAACCGUCCUGCUGCGCCAAAGUAGUUGGUGAUAGAUGACUUGAGGUGUGACAAAGACGAGUCGUCCUCACUGAUGCUCUCAAAUGUGUGGCUGUCGAUGCCUUCAUCUGGCCGCUCGGGGCCCAAAGUCCCCUCCGCACUGCUGUCUGAGGGGCAGCGUCCACUCAGCUCAGCUGCCCGCCGCUUUGCCCGCAGGGGCAUGUAGGCUUUGGCCGCCAGCUUCCUCUUGCGGCUGCCUACUGUCCGUCUACACCAGGAGCGGGGAGAGGAAGAUGAGGGAAAUGAGGUGGGAAGACUGUAACAAAGCCCUCGCCCCCAGCAGUCUCCUGGGUACCAGGCACUGUGCCAGCCCCUGGGCAUGGAUCAUCUCACCUUGCAAGAACCCCAGAGGAGGGAAAGUGAAGCUCCAGGAGAGAAGCAGCCAGCUGGGGAGCGGCAGAGCCAGGUUCAAACCCCGGUCUGCCCAGCUCUAAAGCAUGGGCUCUGGGUGCAGACGCACGACUCCCUGAGCCUCCUGAGGCCACGCAGCAUGGAGGCCCUGGGUACCAUGCUUAUCCCUCACCUGUGCUCAUGUGGAGCUAGAAGAGCCAGACAGGGAUAGGGACAGGGGUCAUGGACUAAAGGACCUUGUACUACAUAGGCAGAUGUGUUAGAGAAGGGAUCCAAGACCAGAGUCACAUCCACAGAUGCUUAGAAAUGGAAGCCAAGACCCAAAGCACUAGUGAAAACCAAAGAAACAGGAAGAAACAAAUUAAAAUACAGGGCUGGGGCGCAGAUCAGCAGUAGAGCGCUUGCUGGCUUGUGUGAGGUCCUGGGGUCCAUUCCCAGAACCAAAAAUAAAUAAAUAAAAUACAGAGGCAACAUCAGAAAAAGACAUGUCAGAGACGUCUGCCGACUAAGACUUCAAGACACAUGUCUAUAAGUGUUGUGCUUUUAAUUCUACUCUUGCAAGGGCCUCAUGCGUCCUAGAGUAGAGGAGCCUGAGUCCAGAAGAAAUCCUGCUUUGCAGAGACCACUCUCCCUGUGCUGCUGACAACCAACUACUGCCAAGCAGGCUAGCCCCACAGCUGGGCCCCCAGAGAUUUCUGUCCCCCUCCCAAGCCCUGCAGUCCACAGGAUGCCAUCCUCCCUCCACCAGGCUUCCUAACAAAUGCUCUUCCCUUAGAGACCCUGGAACACAGACACCCAACUCAGACAGCCAGAAAACCAGGGUUAGGGACCCUGCAGUCUGAGAGGCACAGGCAUGCAAAAUCAUGGCGUGCAGAGACCAAGAACCCCAGUGGAAGAAUCUCUGGUCAGACGACCUCAGAAUUGGAACCAUCCAGCCAGAGAUGUCCCCGUGUUCUGCAGCAGGCGGAGAGCAUUCCAAAGAGAUGGGACCACAGCAACCUGGAUGCCUGUCCUUAUCUGCUUUAAUGCCAGGGACUCGAACUAGAGGUCCAGGGCCAGAUUCUCACGAUUGUAGAAGGCCAGGUCCUCCAGCCUGGGGCUCAGUAUGCAAAAUGAGCCCCACAACUGGGCCCCACAGAGGAGAAGUGGGAGGUGGAGGCCUGGGAGGGACUAUGGUUCUUGAGAAGCCUAAGGUCAGGGCUGACCCCUGGGGGCUCACCUGGAGUCAUAGGAGAGGCUGGUGGAGGCAGAGCCUGAGGUGCUGGCGGCGUCUGUGGAGUCCACGUCUGAGAAGAAGGUCUGGCCUGAGCUGGCACUGAGAGGGGGGCAAGGGUGAGCCUGCCAUUGGCCCAGCCCAGCAAAGUCCUGCCAACCUGCUCCCGGGGAGCCUUGGGACCUCUCCAGCUUUUCUCUGCCCCUCUCUAAGCAUUGUUCCUCCCAGUGGAGGCCCAUCUUUCCGUUGCUCAGCUUCCCACCAUCACACCUGCCUGUCCAUUUCCCAUCCAUCCGCCUUCAAUCCAGGAGGCAGGAGAGCCUUCCUUUACCACCUUACCCUCCACUAGGCUUUUAAAUAAAUGUGACAGAAGCACAGAUAAUACUUAAUGAGCCAUGAAGCACUUCUGCAACACUUUACAGGUCAAAGUGUUUGCAUUUUCAGUAUCUUAUUUGAGGAAAACAUAGGAGGUUCAGAGACGUUAAGAAAUUUAGCUAAUGCCACACAGCUAGUACUGGUAAGCAGAGUCUGGAGUUCAGAUUUGUCUGAUUCUCAAUCCCUCACUCCUUCCUCCAUGGUCUUAGGUAAACACUGAAUGACUUUUAGUGAUUUUGGAAAUCAAAUGACAAAAGAUGUAGUCCUUGCCCUUGAGUGUACCCAAGCACACACAGAAAGGUGUCCCACACAGCCUGGGAGGAUCUGUGCAGGCCUCUUGGAGGGAUCCAGGUCCUGGGUUUUCAGAUGGGAUAGGGUGGGCAGAGCAAAGGGCUAAAGACCCUUUAACUUGGGGUUUUAGGAGGACCCCAAGGGAGCACCCACUCCUCCCUCAGAACACUUCUGCCUUGCCCCCUUCCAGAGCCUCCUGCAUUGCUGUGGGAAUGGAGGGAGCCUCCACCCCUGCCUCCACCCCAGUUUCAAGCAGACCUUUCUGCUGGGCCCCUCACCAGUACCCUUUUUUUUUUUUUUAAAUAACUAUUUAUUUUUAUGUGGUGCUGAGGCUCGAACCCAGUGCUUCACACGUGCUAGGCAGGUGCUCUACCACUGAGCCACACCCCAGACCCACUGUUACCUUUUUAAACUCUGAAUUUCAUCCAGCGUGAAGUCAAAUAUGCUAGCCAGGUGGUGGUUGGUGCUCCAGGCUGAGGUGAAGUCACUCUGUGGACAGAGGAAGAAAAGAGGAAGGGUCAGUCAGCAGUGUCCAGUCUGCCCUCCCCAAGCACCUUUGCCCCAGCUGAGGGCCACACAGCCAGAGCUGCCGAGCGCUGCACCCUCCCUGGGUAAGGCCUGCCACUUCCUCUUCAUUCCAAGUCCUGACCAGAGAGCCAAGUUACCCUGAUUCUCAUCCUGGCUUUGUCUCCAGCCACUGGGUAACCUUGACCUCUCUGGGCCUUAGUUACCUCAACUGCAAAAUGGGGACAAGACACCCUGCCCUGCUUCCCUCUUAGAGGUGUCAGAGAGCCCAGAAAAUUAAGUACUGGCUACCAAAGGUAGUAAUUAAGUAAUGCCUUGUAGACUGUGAAGUGCUGGGGAGAUGAGGCAUGGUUGGUAUCACUGCCCCCAGGGAGGAGGGCCUCAGUGAGGAUGCUGGGGAAGAAGAGCAAGUGCCCUGGAGCCCUGGUUCCAGGCCGGGCUCAGCCACUGUUGUGCGCCUCGGGAAAGUCAUUGCCCAACCCUGUUCUCCUUUCCCCACCUGACAAAGGGGACAAGGAUUGGGAUCUUGGGAGAACUGGGAGGCAAGGGAGAGGUAUGGGAGCACCUGGCUUUUCCUUGUUUUGCUAGAUAGGAAAUGGGACAUGGGAGAGUCCCCUGGACCUGGGGGACUCCAUUUUCUGCAGAGGAAUCCCUAAUAUGUGCCGGUCCUGCAUGUGAAAGUGGAGGAUGAGAAAACAAGGAACUAACACUGGGAAUAGCAUCUUCCAGCAAAAACUUUGAUCUUUUUCUUCUAUAAACUCGCCUUUUCUGCUGCUGGAAUUCGUGAGGCAACAAACUGUGGAGACAAAAGGGAGAGGGUGGCUCAGUCAGAGCCUGAGGGCCAGAGGGGGCCCCAGAGGGAAGAGCCUCAGGAGCCCAGGGGCAGGGGCCAGUGGCUGGGGUAGGGACGGCUGCCUUCACCAGGAGUCUGGGGAGGAGGGCACGUGCUUUGGGGCAGGAGAUGUGGAAGGGCUGUCGGUGGAAAAAGAAAAGGUGCUUCUGGGCGGGUGUGUCCAGCUGCCCUGCCCCCGAUGCCCAGGAGGGGUCUCAGCUCAGCCUGGAGCCGGGGCGUUGUCCACACUCCAGCGUCCCCUUCUCUUCACCCAGCCUUGAGGCAGGCCUGGCUUUUCCUGGGCUGCGGAAGGAGCCUGGGAGCCACUGACUAGCCCUCUCAGGGCACCUAUGCUGGGACUAGCUGCAGGGGGUUUCUGGCUUAUGCAAAUGUCACCAUGCUCUUGGGUCCCACAUCAUAGCCAUCAUCCUGGGAGCUGGGAGCAGAGAAACCAACUGCAGCCCUAACCCCUGGGUCCCCCAGCACUGACCCAGGCUUGCUCUUUCCUCUUUUACGCAGCUCGGAGGAGCCAGAGGAGGUGCCGUUCUCGUUUGGCACCAGACCCUUGUCAGGUAGCAACUUGCCCGGUGGGUUGGGUGGGACGCGGAUGCGCAGGCGGAAGAUGCACUUCUUCUUCUUGAUCUCUUUGCCACAGAGGAACCUGGGCAUGGGCAGGGGAGAAGGCCGAGUAAGUCCAUCCUCCAGGGCAGUGUUGGUGGGCAUUAAAUGAGGUUGUCCGCCUCUCUGGACCCACAACUAAAAUCCAGAGUGGCCCCUAGGAACCAUGAGUGGGAUGAAGGGUCCCGGCUGAGGAUGUGGCUCCUCCCCAUCCCUCCUCCAGUAUGGUGGGGGGGUUCUUGCUGCUCUCCCUUUUCCCCUCUGCCUCAACCAGCUGCAAGACCACCUCCUACAGCAAGACCUCCUUCAGCUCACAGUGGGACUCUGGUCAGGACACUUAUUCCACCCCAUGCUGUCCUCUGAACUCUCACAGAAGCUGCAAGCACCCCCAGGCACUUCCUUCCAACACUGGCUGCAUGGCCCUGAGCUGCAGAGGCAGUUCACACCCAGGCCCAUUCUUGGGGACUGUUCACUGGGCAGUGGCCUUGUACUGAGGAGCAGGCUGUGUCUGGGCCCCAAUCCAUGUGAAUGUGAAGGUGGGUCAUUCUAGAGGCGUCUGGAAGCUUUUGUAGAAGCAGGGGUCUUGUCUUUCUCCCCCUGUGGUCUCGGCACCUACACAGGGCCGGACAGAGCAGCAGCUCAAUAAGUACUUGUUGAAGAGACAAAUGAAUAAAAGGGAUGAAAGAGCAUCCUGGGCUGAGGGAAGAGGAUGAGUGAAAGCCCUGGUCAGGGAGCAAGAGCUCAGUGGGGCUGGCUGGCACCAAGUCAAAAAGCAAAGGGACAGUGGUGGAAGAUGUGCAGGCAGGGCCUGAUCAAAAAAGGCCCUGAAUGCUGGGACAGGGAGCUGGGCAUCCCCUGUGUGGUGUGGCCAGCUGUGCAUGCUGAGAACUCAGAAUGGGAAGACACUGGUUGGGGACGGGCCAGGGGCUGAGGCACACCUGAAAGAUGCUGAGUUGCCUCAGUGCACGGCCCAGAGCCCCAGCUGGCUCAAGCAGGAGGGACCCUCAGAGAGCAGGGGGACACAACCCUAUGGAGUUGAGCCCAGUACCAAACUGAGUAAGGCUGCUGGGUGCUCGAGAAGCUUUGCAAAGGGAGGUCCCAGGAUCCUUUGUUCCCUGGAUCAUGAAGGAUGGGAAGGGGAUAGGCAAAGAAAAGGAUCCCUCCCACCUGCACAUACCGGCUUUUGUAACUGUUGAGAGCAUUGAGGAGAUGCGGUCCUCGAUCUGUCACGGGGGUGCUGGUGAGCUGGGGGAGCAGGCCAGCGAGACAGUCAGACUCAGGGGCCUGGCGUCUGAGGAGGCCCCACCCUGUCCCCCCAUCUCCUGAAACUCUUGAGUCCUCCAGGUGAGGACCAUUGAUCCACGAUAUCUCAGGCAAGCCUUUCCCCCACUCUCAGGGGAAAAUGGAGAGAAAAACUGCCGGCUUAACUCUAUUGAGAGCUUUCAAACGGUACAUACCUUUGACCCAACUUUGCUCUCCCAUGGGACCUAUGGUACCGAUAGGACAUGGGACUCAAACAGAACUUUACAUACAAAAAUGUUCAUGAUGGCAUGUGGACAGGAGGGAAAAAAGCUAUGUGCCCAACAGGAAGGAAACCAGUAAACAAUGGUAGAAACCAGUGCUGCCACUAAAAAUGCUACUGAAGAUUCUUCAAUACAUGGGAAAGCAACUGAAAAUAAAACAAACUGAAAAAAGGAAAAUUAAAAUGAUAUAUACAUAUUGUAUCAUCCAAAUCAUGUAAAAAGAAAAAAUAAGCAUAAAGAGAGGCUCAAAGGAAAUGCAUCAUUUCUAGUUAUCUCUGGGUCAUGUGAUGUGGGAAUGUGGAUUUUUUAAAAAAGUAUACUUCCUUAGGUUUCUUGGUAAUUUAAACAUUUUCUACCAGUAACAUGCAUGAUAUUUUUGUAAAUCAGAACAAAGUAACUAAAAAACAGUUGAAGGCUUUAUAAUAUGUAUAUCUUAUAAAUUAUCCAACACCAUAAAUGUAGAUGGUAUGUAAAAAUUUUUUUGCAGAGCAUAUAGGCUACUUAAGAAAAAAAUCCUUGUCCAAAGAAGAGUUUGGGGCAAUCAGUAAAGAAGAAGCCUCUCUUGCAUGUAGUAGCAAGGAUUCUGAGUGUCAUUAGGGACAAAGGGGCUCAUCCCCACUGUGGAAGUGGCUAGGAACGUCCUGGUCCCAGCUUUGGCUCAGCCUCAAGGCUGGCUGACCAGGGGCAGAUGGUGCUCCAGCCCUGACAUUCUCAAAGUCUGCAUUUGUUACUUCAACUCAUGGAUCAGAGGCGCCCGGGCCCCUGGUGACCCACUGUUCAGAACAGCAUCAGCAGGGGGCAGGCCUACUCUACUUUCCAUCCUAGCUAAGAAAUCUGGAGUGGGCCAGACACCUCAGCAGAGAACCCUGCUCCGGCCAGAUUUGAUCCAGGACUCCAGCUCCCAGGGGCUGAGUUGGUAAGUCCCCAUAUGCCCUCUGCCAAAAUCAGGGAGCAGAGGCCUGGACUCAGGCCACAAGGUGAGAGCUCACACACCUAGACCUCACUGCACAGCCCUGCAGAGACACCUGUCUCCUGCCACUCUGUCAGCCCCUGCCCUGCAUACCUUGCCAAGCUGCAGGAGCUCCCAGUGGUGGUUUACAAAGGCCAGAAUCUCCUCAAAGUCAAAGUACUUCUUCUUGCUCUGCACCCCAAGGUUGUAGAGGGCCAGGUGAACCACAUCCACCCUGAGCAAGAGGGCAAGGGGGUGGGGCCGGGUGAGG